rnacentral:rRNA from 1 species
CCUACGGGUGGCAGCAGUGGGGAAUAUUGGGCAAUGGACGCAAGUCUGACCCAGCAACGCCGCGUGAAGGAAGAAGGCUUUCGGGUUGUAAACUUCUUUUAAGGGGGAAGAGAAGAAGACGGUACAUCUUGAAUAAGCCACGGCUAACUAAGUGCCAGCAGCCGCGGUAAUACGUAGGUGGCAAGCGUUGUACGGAUUUACUGGGUGUAAAGGGCGUGCAGCCGGGAAGUCAAGUCAGAUGUGAAAUCCCGCGGCUCAACCGCGGAACUGCAUUUGACACUGGUUGUCUUGAGUAUCGGAGAGGUGAGCGGAAUUCCUAGUGUAGCGGUGAAAUGCGUAGAUAUUAGGAAGAACACCAGUGGCGAAGGCGGAUUACUGGACGGCAACUGACGGUGAGGCUCGAAAGCGUGGGUAGCAAACAGGAUUAGAUACCCUUGUAGUC